rnacentral:rRNA from 1 species
GGAGGGGCAGCAUAAUGGAUAGCAAUAUCUAUGGUGGCGACCGGCGCACGGGUGCGUAACGCGUAUGCAACCUACCUUUAACAGGGGGAUAACACUGAGAAAUUGGUACUAAUACCCCAUAAUAUCAUAGAAGGCAUCUUUUAUGGUUGAAAAUUCCGAUGGUUAGAGAUGGGCAUGCGUUGUAUUAGCUAGUUGGUGGGGUAACGGCUCACCAAGGCGACGAUACAUAGGGGGACUGAGAGGUUAACCCCCCACACUGGUACUGAGACACGGACCAGACUCCUACGGGAGGCAGCAGUGAGGAAUAUUGGUCAAUGGACGCAAGUCUGAACCAGCCAUGCCGCGUGCAGGAUGACGGCUCUAUGAGUUGUAAACUGCUUUUGUACGAGGGUAAACGCAGAUACGUGUAUCUGUC